rnacentral:tRNA from 1 species
CACGUCCGCUUGAAGGAUCGGGCGCGUAAAAAUGGCCGGUCGGUAGAAGACGAAGCACGGACCAUUCUCAGCGCCGCCUUGGAGGCCG